UACGGAGGGGGCUAGCGUUAUUCGGAAUCAUUGGGCGUAAAGAGCGUGUCGGCGGUCCGGUAAGUCCGCUGUAAAAGUCAAGGGCUCAACCCUUGAAAGCCGGUGGAUACUGCCGGGCUAGAGUCCGGAAGAGGCGAGUGGAACUCCUGGUGUAGCGGUGAAAUGCGCAGAUAUCAGGAAGAACACCUACGGCGAAGGCAGCUCGCUGGGACGGUACUGACGCUGAGACGCGAAAGCGUGGGGAGCGAACAGG
rnacentral:rRNA from 1 species